CAAGGCGGGGGAGCGGCGGAUGCAUCGGCGGCAGCGCGAGAGGAGCGGUGGUGGCGGCGUCAAGCUGCGAUGAGGUGCCGCUCGGGCACGAGACGACGGAGAUGGUGGCGGCUGUUCCGGGGCCCAUCUGGGGAGGGUACGAGGCAGGGAAGGAUGCCGUCGUCGCCUUCGCUGGUCUUCCUUCUGCCCCUUUUGCUCCCUCUGAUUUGCCCUCUUCCUAUCCCUCUUGCUCGCCAGCGGCGACUCCUCCCCUGCCUCCGCACACCGCCCUCGAGUUGGAGGAAACGAGGACAACAUGCGGUCGAGCUCAGGCCGGCGACAUGUGCGCUGUCCGUCUCUUAUGUUUCCCUUGUGUCUCUUGGCCUGAGUUUUACGGCCAGUAUUGCCUUAGUGAGAUGUGUUGUUGAGUAAAAACUAAAAUUUUGUCCCAGAUGCUACUACUACUGAUUACUCGCAGUAAUCAGAAAUUUGUACUUAUGAUACACAAAUUAGUUACUUUACUACUUUGCCUAUUUCACUAACCAGUCUUCAUAUAAAUAUAUAAUAGAGGAUAAGGCCAUGGAAGUCCGAAUGGGUUCUGCUGGUGGUCACACUGGUAGGAACGGCAUUGCCUGUUAGUUGUUAUGAGAAGUAUGUUGGGAGAUUGCCACCUUCCUGAAAAUCACUGGACAAAGAAGCGAUAUGUGAUGGAAAACCAGAGUGCCAAAAGAAGGUGGAUUUGGCAGUUGCUGCUCCAUGAGACGAGUUUAUUUGCCUGCUCAAAAUUCAGACCUGGAAAGGAUGAAACCAGAUGGAACGCAAAAGCUACAUGGCAGAGCACAUUUUGGGCACUGGUUCAUUUGGCGCCGUCUUUCAGGCUAAAUGCUUGGAAACUGGGGAGACGGUAGCCAUUAAGAAGGUACUCUAUCGGGAGCUGCAGCUUAUGCGUUCGAUUAACCAUUCCAAUGUUGUCUUCCUCAAGCACUGCUUCUUCUCAACCACAAGUGGAGUGAGCUGUUUCUGAACCUUGUCACGGAGUAUGUCCCCGAGACGCUCUACCGCGGGCUUAAGAACUACAGUAAUGCCAAACAGGGGAUGUCACUUAUCUACGUCAAGCUUUACACCUAUCAGGGGGCUCGUGUACAUUCAUUACUAUUCGGAAUCUGUCACAGGGAUGUGAAGCCACAUUUUUUUUGGUAUGCAUCAGUGAAUACUUGCUGUGUGCAUCACUUAUGCAGAGGCCAGGGUCAUCCCCUUCUGAAAAAACAACAAACAGUGAACAUAUUAGCUCGGUUAUCAUGUGUUCUCAUGCUUGCUUUUGAACUUGCCUUCACUUGCUUCCUUAUACAGGUGGGCAGGGCCUUUGGAUGGGAAUCAUCUUCGGUAUUUUGGUCCAGGUCUUGUUGUUCGUGGCCAUCACACUGCACACCAUCUGGCAAAAUAAGGUAUGUGUUCAAAGGUUGUAGCUUGACUAGGCCAUUUCUGGUUUCUCAGAUUUAGGAUCAUGUGUGUAAGUAUAAAGUAAACCAUGUUUCGUCAACUGAAUAUGUGUAUGUAUGCAUGGCAACAAAGUUGAA